rnacentral:rRNA from 1 species
UAGCAUAAUAAUUAGUUUUUUAAUUGAAAAAUGGAAUGAAUGGUUUCACUAAAGCUGAAAACUAAUCCUUAUUCACAUGAACUUUUAUUUUUUGUGAAAAUACAAAAAUUUUUUUAUUAGACAAGAAGACCCUAUGAAGCUAAAAAUAAUUCAUCUAUGAAAGUAGCUUAUAUAUUUAUUUUUUGGGGAAAAAGAAAAAGACUUUAUUUGUGCAGACUUAUUUUUUGAUCCCGCAGGAUAUUAAGAAAAAGCUCCCCUAGGGAUAACAGCGUAAUAAUAACUAGAGUCCCUAUCGAAAUUAUUGUUUGUGACCUCGAUGUUGAAUA